rnacentral:tRNA from 1 species
GGCGCCAUAGCCAAGUGGUUACGGCGACAGAUUCGAAAUCUGUUUCGCUUUGCGAGCGUAGGUUCAAAUCCUGCUGGCGUCG